AUUUUUCUUUCCCGAUUUUGAUGUCAUUUUAUUCUUGGUUUGGUUUUCUUGGGUGUCAACUGUGACCAAAUUUUUUUGACAAAACCGAGACUGCCAGUCUCCCUCUCUUAUCUGACUGUCAGCUGCUUUUUUUCUCUGCAAGAACAGUUCCAAUUCAGGAAAGGGAAAGACAGGCAUUAUAUAGCUCACAUUCCACACAUGGAGAUAGGCCUAGUCCUGUUCUAAUGAAGGUGGUGGUACAUCAAUAUAUAACCAGAUUGCACUUACUGGGAGUUCCUGUAACAUAAGGUUCUGGUGACGCUUUAUUCUGCCUAAACAAGUGAACCACUUACCAAAGGCAGGGGGAUAGAAUUCCAACAUCUUUGAUCUGUAGUUGCCACUCAUUUCUUUCCUAAUUUUGAUGUCAUUUUGUUGUUUUUGUUCUUGUGUUUGUUAUGUCUUGAUUGGGGCAGGAGUAUGUGAAGAUGUUCCAUUGUUGUGGGGGUUAUGGUCCUAGAGUCAAUUAUUUGUAUCAACUAGAGUCAAUUGUUUAUUUGUAGAGAAAUAAUAUCCAAAGUUUUAAUGAAGGUUUACUCCAUGAGACUUGCAAGAAGAAUAUUGUGACUAAAUUGAUCAUACUUUGAGACU